UCCAGCCCCAGCCGCUGCCCCAGGCCGCUGCCCCGGGAGCCUUCCCUUGUUUUCAUAAAACACACGCUGCCUCUUUGGGCACAUUUGCCAGUUGCCAUGGGCGUUUUCUGUUUCGACCCAAGCAGGGAUACAGAGUCAAGUGAUUCUGAGCUGUAAAUUUGGUAUGUUGGGGACCUUCCCGCUGCUGUAGCCUUACUCUGGAGAGGCAGGCGCGAAGGCCCACUCUCUGUUCUCAGGGUUCUUCUCCAGUCGCCAGACCUUCGUGAGGUACCAGGCAAACAGAAUGUGAAGACAACAGGAAGUCGGCUGUAGAUACAGGAAGCCACUGCAAAGGCCUCAGAGAGAGACCGGUGUGGCCCACUCCUGGCAUGCGCAGAUGUGGAAAUGAGGCUCCGAGAACGAUAAAGAACCCACUCCUGGCCAUUUCAUCUGCUAAGCAACAGGCUCAGGUUCACCUGGGCGGUGGUAUCUCCAGGAACAAGGCCCUCCUGACGGUGGGCCACUGCCACGGUGGCCUUCAUCUUUCACGGUGUGAUCUUCCUAGUGGGAAUCCGAGGUAACAGACAGACAGAUGAACAGGCAUCUUGAGAUCAUCAGAAAAGACGAUCUGGGAACAAACUCUGAAAGCACGGUGGACUAAGAAGAGAUAGAAACCAGGUGUGAAGAACCCAGGACUCAGAGGCCAAGGCAGGAGGAUGAGGGCAGUAAAGCUGAGGAUAAUCUCCAGGCACAACAUGGUAUCUAGAGUUGUAGCUGCUCCAUAUUUCUGUCCCAGGAAGAAAGGGGGACGAGUGUGGAUGCAAUCAACCCCUUCUUACAGACUUCUCUCAGAAGAUUCGCCCCAAAAUAUCUGCUUCACACCUUCCUGGUUGGGUGCCUCAAGCUACCAACGUGGCUGCCGAAACUUCCAGCUGAGCACAUUGCCAAGUUAAAAGUCUGGGUCAGGUCACUGAGGGACGAGGAGAGAAUGGAUCUUGAUAAUCAACCAGCAGGUUCUGUCCCACCCUCUGUAACAAACAAGCCCGGUUUCUACAUUCAGACUCUGGCUUAGUGUCUCCUCCAAAGAGACCCAAAACUCUAGUAACAAAUACUCUCACAGUAGGCCUUUAACGUCAAAAGCUGAGAUCCACCUUCCGCAAAGAUCUCUAACUAUUAUCUUCUAAUCCUUCCAUUUAUGACAGACUGAGCAUCUGUCUUCUUUAAUUAGACCUCACUAGCCAUUCACUAGACUCUCUACUUCUAAGACAGAUGUGGUAGCAUCCACUGGUAAUCCUAGCAUAAACGAGGCUCAAGCAGGAGGAUGGCAAGUUGGGGGCUAGCCUGGGCUACACAGUGAGACCGAAAAUUAACUCACAGCACACUUCGGCUUGUCCAACCUGCUGUAGCCAGAGCCCACACAUAUUCCCUUAUCUCUGUUCACAUUUUUUCCAGGUCCUUCUACAGAGCCUUGCUUCUGACUGUGCUGUUAACAUUCUCAGUCCCUGUGUUGGGCCUAGGACAACAGGCCAAUCUGUGUCCGCAUCAGCAGCUGAAUGGAGGCUCGUCGCCAAGGAUCAAGGAUGUGAAAAUAUGAUUUUGUUGGAGACAGUGGGAGCUGGGGGGCGGGGGUGGGUUCCUUUGUACUUCUCUCAAGGUCUCCCGGUCCCUCCCUGUGCAUUUGUGUGUGACACAGACAGCCUCACAAUCACCUCACAACCAUGAUGCUCGGCAACAGUCAAACACAACGGAGGGAGCCAUUGUCUCACGAGAGUCAGAACAUCUGUUCCUCCCACCUCACCUGGGCGAAGGCCAAAUAAUGGAAAGAAGGAAACAGUAUCUGCCAACAGCACACUUCACCUUGAGUUCUGGUGCAGAGAAUACCUUCUCCAAGAAGGCGCCUUUCAUUGGCUCGAAUGUUCCCGUCUCACUUCUCAUUACAAACUGGAAGCUAUUGUAACUCAUAAUUUCACAUUGUCCUUUCAAAUAGAAGCGUCACCAAGCAGAUGUGAACAAUUAUGUCCAACUGUGAUUUCUUUUCAUUAAAAUUUUAAAGAAAUACCUAA